rnacentral:lncRNA from 1 species
GGCCUGGAGCAGCUGGCUGGCGUCACAAGAGUGAAUUCAUGCUCUUCUUCAUGGAGGUGGAUGUUUCUGGAAGGAGGUUUGUGAUGUCCUUUGCAGGGACAUGGAUGGAGUUGGAAGCCCUUAUCCUCAGCAAACUAAUGCAGGAACAGAAAACCAAACACUGCAUGUUCUUACUUAUAAGUGGGAACUGAAUGAUGAGAACACAUGGACACAUAAGGGGAAAUGACACACACUGGGGCCUGUCAGAGCUGAGGGGUUGUGGGGAGAGGGAGAGAAUCAGGAAUAAUGGCUAAUGUAUGCUGUGCUUAAUAUCUAGGUGAUGGGAUGAUCUGUGCAGCAAACCACCAUGGCACACGUUUACCUAUGUAACAAACCUGGACAUCCUGCACAUGUAUCCUGGAACUUAAAAUAAAAGUUGAAG